rnacentral:tRNA from 1 species
UCCCUUUUUGUCCAGUGGUUGGGACUCUGGCCUCCCAAGGCAGGGGGCCCAGGUUCGAUCCCUGGCCAUGGAA